rnacentral:misc_RNA from 1 species
AAGUCGUAACAAGGUUUCCGUAGGUGAACCUGCGGAAGGAUCAUUAACAAAUUAUCCAAUACCAACCACUUGUGCACUGUUGAAGUAUGCUUUGGUAGAGUGCUGAGGUGAUCGUGGCAAUGCCGCGAUCUCUCGAUCUGCCAGAGUUUUUACCAAUACUAAACAAACAAACGUCUAAUUAAUGUGACUGAACUUCAUUUUACAAAUGAAAAUACAACUUUUAACAAUGGAUCUCUUGGCUCUU